GGCUGGUACCAUGAGGUGACUUCUGCCCAGUGCUCUGAUUGUCAUGGCAAAGAGAUUUAGCCAAGCGCGGGUAAACGGCGGGAGUAACUAUGACUCUCUUAAGGUAGCCAAAUGCCUCGUCAACCAAUUAUUGACGCGCAUGAAUGGAUCAACGAGAUUCCUGCUGUCCCUAGGUGCUGUCCGGUGAACCAACAGCCAAGGGAACGGGCUUGGGCGUGUCAGCGGGGAAAGAAGACCCUGUUGAGUUUGACUCUAGUUUGAUGCUGUGCAACGACAUGUGGGGUGUAGCAUAGGUGGGAGGCCCGUGCCAUUGGCCAUCCACCACGCAGCAGUGUCCACUGGGGAUGCAUCUCCCUACCCAGUGACACUCCAUCGGCUCUUCCUGGAUGAUGUGGUACCAACCAGCAGUGGAAUCAGCACUGGGCAUGGGCCAAAUGCUCAUCUCCCUGCCCAGUUUCUCAGGGAUAACUGUGCAAUGGGCAAGUCCCAUCAUCCAUCUCGGCUCUUCUUGGACAAUAUGGUGCAAACCAGCAGUGAAAUACCACUACCUUCACCGUCGUUUUACUCAUCGAGUGGCUUGGGAACAGUGGCCAUUGGACAUCGUCUCCUGCACUUGCUGUGGGAGACGCGGCCUCAUCCUGCUUCGUGUGUCAAGUGCUGCUAUAUCUGUCCUUCAGGGCAGUAGUGGCUGCAUGACCCUGGGGUCCUUAUGGACACCCUUCCGUUGAUUCGGUGCCUCGGGACAAUGAUCAGUUGGGGAGUUUGGCUGGGGCGGCACGCCUGUUACAGGACAACGCAGGCGUCCUGAAGCAUUGCUCAGAUGGAACAGAAAUCUUGCGUGGAGGAGCAGGCCAAAGGUGCUGCUGAUGCUGCAACUUUCAGUACAAGUUCAAAACGUGCAAACGUGGCCUUGCGAUCCUUUGGUCAAGCGGCGAGUUCUGGAUAUUGAAGCCAGAGGUGUCAGAAAAAUUACCACAGGGAUAACUGGCUUGUGGCUGCCAAGCGUUCAAAGCGACGUCGCUUUUUGAUCCUUCGAUGUCGGCUCUUCCUAGCUUCCCACCCGCAGCCGAGUGGAAGAGUUGGAUUGUUC
rnacentral:rRNA from 1 species